rnacentral:rRNA from 1 species
AAAACUAACCAGGAUUUCCCUAGUAACGGCGAGCGAACCGGAAAGAGCCCAGCUUGAAAAUCGAGGCGCCCCGCGCCCCGAAUUGUAGUCUGGAGAAGCUCCCUCUGCGGCGCACCGGGCCCAAGUCCCCUGGAAAGGGGCGUCAGAGAGGGUGAGAACCCCGUCAGAGCCCGGACAGGCGCCGCUCCACGAGGAGCUGUCUGCGAGUCGGGCUGUUUGGGAAUGCAGCCCUAAGCGGGAGGUAAAUUCCUUCCAAGGCUAAAUAUGGGCAAGAGACCGAUAGCGAACAAGUACCGCGAGGGAAAGAUGAAAAGGACUUUGAAAAGAGAGUUAAAAAGUGCUUGAAAUUGCUGGGAGGGAAGCGAAUGGAAGCUGCGGGUGCGCCCCGGUUGGAUGUGGAACGGCCGUCAGAAAGCUGGUCCGCCGCUCAACGCGGGGCGCUGGUCAACGUGGGCCUCCGCGCCGGGACAAGAGCGGGACUUCGCGUCCCGUCCCAUGCCGGUGCGGGGGCCGAGGAACGAAGCGCGCGCCCCCUCUGACAUGUCAGAGGGCGGCGUGGGGUCCGCCCCAACUGCGCGCUCGGGACGCUGGCGCAUUGAGCUCUUCAUCCGACCCGUCUUGAAACACGGACCAAGGAGUCUAACAUGUAUGCGAGCCGGUGGGCGGCAAACCCAUUGAGGCGCAAGUAACCUGACAGGUGGGACCCCGACCGCGAGGGAGGGAGCACCAUCGACCGACCGUGAUCUUCUGUGAAAGGUUUGAGUGCGAGCAUACCCGUUGGGACCCGAAAGAUGGUGAACUAUGCCUGAGCAGGGCGAAGCCAGAGGAAACUCUGGUGGAGGCUCGUAGCGAUACUGACGUGCAAAUCGUUCGUCAGACUUGGGUAUAGGGGCGAAAGACUAAUCGAACCAUCUAGUAGCUGGUUCCCUCCGAAGUUUCCCUCAGGAUAGCUGGAGCUCGUGUGACAGUUUUAUCAGGUAAAGCGAAUGAUUAGAGGCAUCGGGGGUGUAACACCCUCGACCUAUUCUCAAACUUUAAAUAGGUAAGCCGCCGGGGUUGCUCGGUUGAACCCCGGCACAGAAUGAGAGAUCCCAA